AGACACUACAGCAACCACCGAUCCAGGGGCAGGAAGACUCAGACACCUGCUACUACUGUGGUCGGAAUGGACACUGGUCACGAGACUGGCCCCAGAGGAGAGGAAGAGGGCAUGGCAGAGGGUACCCGCAGGGCAGAGGACGGGGACACUCAGAGCUCCAAUUCCAAUCGGAACCACGGCAACAAUUGGACUGACUAGAAAGAGAGGUCGAGCCGGCUGAGGAACAUCCAACCACGAUUCAGGCAUGGUAUCACACUACACCACCACUGCAACAUCCACACACAAAUGUGAUUAACCUAUUUGUAUACUCAUCUAUUGUUAUGUUAGCUACUCCUGUAACCCCGGAAUUUAAAUGGAUUUGCAUUUGGGGGCUGCCCCAUUCAGAGUCAAGCAUGCUAUUACAAUGGGCAAAAGGCAGAGUGGGCCCUGCUGCACAUCUGCAAACAGAUGAUGCAGUGCACUGUACAGCCCACGUCGCACCAAGCCAGGACACAAAUUAUGUGGAGCGUUUCUACGCACAAGCCUCAGUCCACCACUGAUACUAUGUACUGGGAUCCCAUGCGCUGCGCUGCAUCUGUCAACUUGUCUGUCUGUCAACCUCUUAUCAAUCCUGAUCUUGUUCUCUUUGUCGAUGGGUCAGCAUCCCGGGAUCCGGACACAGGCCGGUGCAAAGCCGGUUACGCAGUCUGUGACUCCUGCGGCACUGUUGAAUCUGCGUCUUUACCAUCCAACUAUACAGCUCAAGCCGCUGAAUUGGGGGCCAUUACCAGAGCUUGCCACCUUGCAGCCAACCAGUCAGUUACCAUCUUCACUGAUUCUAGUCACUCGCCACACAGAAGGAUAAGCAGCUCUGGCGCCAGAAAUCCGGGCAUGAGUGAAAGCAGCACUGCCGUCUCCAGCGGACCAACAGCUCCAUCCGUUACAUCCAGGGGACUACGUGGUGAUCAAGGACCUCCGGAGGACCAGGUGGAACCAGAAAAGGUGGCAAGGCCCAUUCCAAGUCCUGCUGGUGACUCAGACUGUGGUGAAAGUAGCCGAGAGAGCAACGUGGAUCCACGUUUCCCACUGCAAGAAGGUGCCAGAACCGAAGGAGCCGGUCAGUAGGGAGUGAAACUAGCAUCCCUGCUGCUCCAAGUGGCGUGCAAGCCACCAACGAAAAAACAAGAUGAGCCUCCAAGGAAAACCUUUGCAUCCCAGGCGACGGACCGACCUGAUCCUGAGGAAAUUCCUGUGUGUUCUGGGUGUGAUAUCAAUCACAGCAGCAUUACCCAUCUUCUCCCCUCCUGCCUAAUACCUGGGCCACAGUCCCGCUGUCGCGCAUUUCCAACCUUGAGAACACAGCUGCAGGGUAUGCCGGGAGUCAAUGGUACAUGACCAAUGAUCAGCUAGAUACCGGAUGGCACACCCUAGUGGCGGACCCACCGGGCCAGGACUGGUCAUCAUAUACGACAACAAACUGCCCGUCGACAGCGCCCUCUACUGACACUCACCUCGACGAGCAACAAGCUUACACUGACAGUAAAUCUCACAAAAGGGAGCCUCCUUGAUGAUCCUGACGGAAGCGGCUGCUGGUUGUUCCUGAUGUGGGCAUGGAAGGAUGGAACUGAUCCUAGUUUCCUGCUGCAGCUCUGUGUGGAUCGUCCUAAUAGCAUCCCGAUAGACCCCAUGCCUGCUGUCCUCUCACCUAAAGCCACUUCCUCGGGAAUCAAGCUAGUCCUAGAACCCACGGUGGAUGAUUAUUUCGAAAUCAUGACUGGUAUUUUGGGAUCCACAAAUAACUGGUUACUGUUAGCAGAACAAGCAGGGACGGCUGCAAGAUCCGACUGUACUGUAUGCUUGGGACCCCGUCCAGUGUUAAGAAUAGUCUCUCUCCCUCCCGUUCUGAACGCAACAUGUCUGACAGAACUCCUAUCCAAAUCAAUCAUGACUUCCUGUUCAGGCUGGGAAGAGCCCUUCCCAGUUGUAGAAAAGACGAGAUCACCACCUAUAUUUAAUGCUGACGUUGCACAAGGGAACUUCACAUGCUUCACGAAUAAUGCUCCAGGAACCACCCCACUAGGAAAUGUAAACAUCACAUGGUGCUAGACGACCGUCAACUCACUGUCCGGACAAUACAAGGUGGCCAGAGCUGACCUCUGGUGGUGGUGUGGAGGGAAUAUCCUGCGAAGCCUUCUGCCGUCCAAAUGGACAGGAAUUUGUGCCCCUGUAAAUCUUAUCCUGCCUGCCAUAAUUGUUUCAGGAUCGGUAUCUCAUACACUCUUCCCACAAACCUUGACCAGAAUCCGUAGGUUCGCAGACAGCAUGGACCAAGAUUCAACCUACAUCGACGCUAUAGGAGUACCACGAGGAGUGCCCGACGAGUACAAAUUGGUGAAUCAGAUUGCAGCGGGCUUUGAGAGCACCAUCUGCUGGUGGUGCACGAUAAACAAAAAUAUGGACAGAAUCAACUACAUCCAUUACAAUGUGCAGCGACUGGCCAACUACACCAGGGAUGGACUCCAAACAGUGCAUGAGCAGCUGUGUGCAACUUCCAUGUUGGCAUUCCAGAAUAGGUUGGCGUUGGAUAUGCUCCUUGCCGAAAGAGGAGGAGUGUGCUCAAUGUUUGGAACUGAGUGCUGUACAUUCAUCCCCAACAACACCGCCCCCAUGGGAAAGCUAACACGGGCAGUGAAUGAACUAAGAACUUUAAGCGACAGCAUGAAAGAACACUAUACUGGUUGACACCAGUAUAUGGGACAAGUUGCUAAGUGUGUUUGGGAAAUAUCGGACACUCAUAACGUCAGUACUAACAUCAUUAACAGUGUUUACAGCAAUUCUUGUGUUGUGUGGGUGUUGCUGUGUACCAUGUAUCAGGGCUCUCUUGGUGAAACUGAUUAAUAGAAUGAUGGGAGAAAGAGUGAUGCAUCUGACCUAUGAAGCUUUAAGGACUAACAAAGAGGAAGCAGUUCCACCAGAGACACCUGUAGUCGUCACUACAAACAGCUGGCUCAACAUUGACUCCAGCGAAGAUUAAUCCGAAUCUGAACUGGAAGAGGGUGAUAAAGAUGGACUAAGUUGCUGAUGUAUGUCAAGUUUACUGCCAAAAUCAGGUUGAUCCAAGUAGGAUCAAAAGGGGGGAAUUGAAAUGGAAUUUGAUUGUGAAAUGUAAAUUGAGUGCAGAAGGAAGGGUUGAAAUUAAUUGAAUUAAUUGUUUUCUUCUCCAAACGGCUAAAAAUUCCGUGACAAACUUGGUGUCAGAAGUGGGAUCCUGGGUACGUCCGUCAGGACCCGACCAAGGGGCUGGCCACCUGAAUCCACCAAAGGUGAUUCAUCCUCAAACCCCGCAAUCUUAAGGAGGAGGAGGACCCAGUCGGGCCCGAUCGACGGUCACAGGAUUCCUCGAAUUCCAUGGCUGAAUUUAAAUUGGUAAGACGUAUUUAUCCUAAUAUUUAGAAUGAAUUACUGUGUAGGAUAGACGCUAACCUUACUCUGCUAACCGGCGAGUGCCGCUAAACAGCUUAAAUAAAUACGAAAAUCCUGUGAGCCCUUUGAGACGAGACCAGGUUACAAAUAUAAGUAAACAUCAAAGGAAGUCCUGUGAAUUUAUUAAAAUAAGACCAGGUUACGAAAUGAGGUCCUGUGAAUUUAUUAAAAUAAGACCAGGUUACGAAAUGAAGUCCUGUGAGAUCAUUGAGGCAAGACCAGGUAAUAAAGUGUAAAUCCUGUGAGCAAAAAAAGAGGCAAGACCAGGUAUCAAAACGUAAAUCCUGUGAGCAAGAAAAAGGCAAGACCAGGUUGUUAAACAUUAAAGGAAGUCCUGUGAAUUUUUUUAAAUAAGAUCAGAAAAUUCCGCGACACAGUAUUUUGGUGUUUUUGGUGACUUUAGUGUGUUGGUAUUUUUGGAACUUUCUAGUGAAUUUUGUAUCUUGUGUAUGGUACGUUUCCCUGCUGUAAUAUUCUCAGGGAAUAUCUUAUAUAUGUGUGUGUGCUAUGCUGUAGUGCCGCCUAGAGGCAUUUGUUGAAAGUCGUCACUUGGUAACAAGGGGUGUGUCUAUCGGGUAGAGUUGCGAAGUCAAUAUGGAGUACCCGUAUGUAUUCACAGAGCGGAAAUAGAAGUUAAGCCCGCACGUCGUCCUGCUUUUUUUUAAUUGUACAUAUUGUGCAAUACAAGACAUGGUGUCAGAGUGACUCGAACCUGCAUUGAAAAGAAGAAAAUAACAGUGGAAAUAUGGACGUCGCUGGAGUUCCUUCACCUCGCAUGGACUGGGAUGCGAGCAACUUACCCGAAGCAUGGUGAAAAU
ensembl:lncRNA